rnacentral:rRNA from 1 species
CCUACGGGAGGCAGCAGUAAGGAAUAUUGCACAACGGGCGCAAGCCUGAUGCAGCAACGCCGCGUGCCCGAGGACGGCCUUCGGGUUGUAAAGGGCUUUUCUGGCUGACGAGGAAGGACGGUAGGCCAGGAAUAAGCGUCGGCUAACUACGUGCCAGCAGCCGCGGUAAU